GAUGAACGCUGGCGGCGUGCCUAAUACCUGCAAGUCUAGCGAAUCGGGGACGGUUGAGUAACACGUGGAUAACCUCCUAUAAGACUGGGAUAACUUCGGGAAACCGGAGCUAAACCGGAUACUUAUGGCUGGAUCCGCUCUGCAUUAGCCAGUGUGUAAGGUAACGGCUUACCAAGGCAACUAUGCAUAGCCGACCUGAGAGGGUGAUCGGCCACACUGGAACUGUGACACGGUCCAGACUCCUACGGGAGGCAGCAGUAGGGAAGCUUCCGCAAUGGGCGAAAGCCUGACGGAGCAACGCCGCGGGAGUGAUGAAGGUCUUCGGAUCGGAAAACUCUGUUAUUAGGGAAGCGGUACCUAAUCAGAAAGCCACGGCUAACUACGUGCCAGCAGCCGCGGUAAUAC
rnacentral:rRNA from 1 species